UCCGUAGGUGAACCUGCGGAAGGAUCAUUACUGGGUCAAUGGGCGCCCCCGGGCGCCCGCCUCCACCCCGUGCGUCCCACACCGAACUAUCGGCGCCGAGGGUGGUCCCCCGAAAGGCGGGGCCACCCCUGCUGAAGCACCAACCCUGAACAACGUUGCAGCCUGAAGUAAACAAGCAAAUAGUUAAAACUUUCAACAACGGAUCUCUUGGUUCUGGCAACGAUGAAGAACGCAGCGAAAUGCGAUAAGUAAUGUGAAUUGCAGAAUUCAGUGAAUCAUCGAAUCUUUGAACGCACAUUGCGCCCCCUGGCAUUCCGGGGGGCACGCCUGUCCGAGCGCCAUUUCAACCCUCAAGCCCCGCUUGGUGAUGGGACCCGCCCGCGGGCGGUCCCGAAACUCGUGGGCGCCGAAGGCCGGCUCCGAGCGUAGCAAAACCCUCGCUCAGGAAACCCGGUCGGCGGUCGCCCCGGACCCCAAACAUUAUCACAAGGUUGGCCUCGGAUCAGGCGGGGAUACCCGCUGAACUUGAGCAUAUCAAUAAGCGGAGGAA
rnacentral:rRNA from 1 species